rnacentral:sRNA from 1 species
GUUGGGCGUGGUGGCACACACUUGUAAUCCCAGCAGCUUGGGAGGCUGAGGCAGGAGGAUCAUGAAUUGAAAGCUAGCUUCAGCAAUGGCAAGGUGCUAGGCAACUCAGUGAGACCCUGUCUCUA